UGUGGCAGAUUAGUGCAAUAAAUUUAAGCUUUAUUUAAAAAGUCAGUCUUUCUUUAGA
rnacentral:tRNA from 1 species